rfam:Trichobilharzia regenti genome assembly, scaffold: TRE_contig0003547
GUACUGAUGAAGAGUCCCAACUUAGGACGAAACAGCUUUCCAGUAC